CUUUCCCUCUUGCUUUAGGCCUAACACAUGCAAGUCGAACGGCAGCACAGUAAGAGCUUGCUCUUACGGGUGGCGAGUGGCGGACGGGUGAGGAAUACAUCGGAAUCUACUUUUUCGUGGGGGAUAACGUAGGGAAACUUACGCUAAUACCGCAUACGACCUACGGGUGAAAGCAGGGGAUCUUCGGACCUUGCGCGAUUGAAUGAGCCGAUGUCGGAUUAGCUAGUUGGCGAGGUAAAGGCCCACCAAGGCGACGAUCCGUAGCUGGUCUGAGAGGAUGAUCAGCCACACUGGAACUGAGACACGGUCCAGACUCCUACGGGAGGCAGCAGUGGGGAAUAUUGGACAAUGGGCGCAAGCCUGAUCCAGCCAUACCGCGUGGGUGAAGAAGGCCUUCGGGUUGUAAAGCCCUUUUGUUUGGAAAGAAAAGCAGCAGGUUAAUACCCCGCUGUUCUGACGGUACCCAAAGAAUAAGCACCGGCUAACUUCGUG
rnacentral:rRNA from 1 species